rnacentral:lncRNA from 1 species
GGGUGAGUAACUAAGGACAUAACAUAGCAUAUAAUUUCAAUGUCAAAACAUCAUAACAUAGAUUAUUCUAGUCAUAAAAUUACAAUACUACACGGUAUUUGAAACAAUAACUCAGAUCAUUCUCACAAGCUUUUCUUGUUUCCUUGAAUUUUGUCGUACCAAACCUGUUUCGCAAAACAGGAUUAUUCGAGCGGCCUUCCAUCGCAACUUCAGGCCUAUCUCCCCGACUCCUCAAGGAAUUACGAGUAAAAACUUCGGUUAGGCGCACCUACCGAGCACUAUACUCACACGAGCCAAAGUCAUUGGGCGAGACAUCCAACCCUCUCUAGUCCUCGCGCACGAGGAUAGGGUGAGACUCGAAUCUUGACCUCCGCAGAGAACUGUACACAUUAUCGUAUCGCAAUACGAACACCAUCAUCGGUUCGACAAAUAUUCUAAGAAAAUGACAGAACACUUGCUCUCACAACUUCACCAUCACAACCAUACACAGAUCACCAUCAUAUACAAAGCCAACCUAAAUCAUUGACCAACGAUUAAUAAAAAAAAACACAAAUAAUUAAAUAACAUAAUUUAAUUAUUAUUAUUUUUUUUCUUCUACUAAUGCACCCCCUGAAAUUACUAAUUUCACACUUCCAGGAACUAGAACAACAUUUCUAGUACACCCCCACUUUUUACUAAAUUUCCAACACUAAAGAAAAUGCAUAAAUUCCUAUACACCCCUUUUUACUCUAAACACACUCCCUUCUACACCUACCUUUUUCAAGUGGGCCCCAAAAUCAUUAAAUUACAUUUUCUCUUACUUCCAAGGUAGGUCUCACUUUAAGUCACUCAUUUCUCAUCUAAAACACUUUCUUCCUUCACUCACGUAAAAGUCAAAUAAAAAGGCCAACUUUAUGAGAUAACCACUCUCCUUUCAUUUCUUUCACCCAAAACCGUGGACCCCACUUUAAAUUCACCACUUUUUACUCUCUUUUACUAAGCUAAAAGUUGCAACUUCUCUCCCCUCCACAUAUCAUUUACGUAGGACUCUCUUUGCCAUUCACACACUCAUUAUUCAUUUCACACUUCUCUCUCUCUCUUAAAUUCAAUGCUCACGGCCCCACAGUUCUCCUGCACCUUCUUUCAUUUUGAUUUUCUCACUUCACUCUAACUAAGACACAAUUCACACCUAUACUCUUUUCUCUCUUUCAUUUAUUAUUCACACUCUUCACUCACUACAAUUUACAUAUAUUCCCAUGCAUGCACCUUCCUCAACUCUCUCCCUCUCUAUUUUUUUUUCCAACGCCCUACACCCACAUCAUACACACUUCUAAAUUCACUCCUUACUUCCCUUUGACUUUUCAAUGCCCACUUUAACUCUCACUUUUCUCACCCUCACUUACGUCAAUCUUCUACCCCUACUUUCUUCUAAUCUCUUUCCACUACAACAACCCAAACCCCUUUUUUUUUCAUGCAACCCCAUGCACCAGUGCCCAUCUUACGUGAGACCCCAAAACCCAACUCUCUUUUUAUUCCAACCAAACCUAAGGUAUCACUGUUAUCAUUUUUCUUGGUUCCAACUCUCUCACCCUUCUCUUCCAUACAAGGAAAAGGAACUCUCAAGCCUCACACCCACCACACUCUUUAUUAGGGAGUGUAUGAAUGUGCGCCAAGUUUACCAUUUACAAAUUAAACGAAGGAAAAUAAGUCAUUUCAGAUAAUGUUUUCAUCAUAAGAAAGUGAAUAACCAUAUAUUCUCAACAUCCAAAAUGAAACCAAAAUAUCCAUGUACAACAAUCCCAAAUUUUCGAAACAUGCAUGGUAAAUAAUAACACCCACCCAACACAUAUAGAAACACAAGUAUUACAAGGAACAUAUAAGCACUAAUAUUUAACAAAAACACCCACCCAUCAUACACCAUUUUAUAAUCCAAAGUUAUACCCCUUACCUCUUAUUUCCAAAAGUUUCAAGACUUCUAAGGUUCCCAAGCAAUGACUGAAAAUGACUUCACUCCUCUUGUUGCACCAAACGUCACUUCACACCCCUUGGUUCCUCUCCAACUCACAGUCCUAGAGCCGAAGACAAAAUGGUGGCUAACCACUCUCUCACAGAUGCACACGGUGGAAAACAGAGGGUUUCAUUCAAUUUCCUUCCACGAUUUCUCUUUGGUGUCCCCCUUCUUAUGCCUCUAUAUUACAACUUAAAUAUUUAUUAACCCUAUCAUCUACCCAAGCUUGCCUCAUCCACUUAGUUUGCCCAAAAAUUCCUUUGCUAGAACUAACCUUGGGUUACCCUUCCUUAACUCUCUAUCAACUCUAGAAAUAGCCAUACUUUAAUGGGUAUAAUUGAUGGUCUUUAAGGAUAAU